rnacentral:lncRNA from 1 species
UCUUGUAUCAUCUGGUAUCAGAGCCAGGUUUACCUUUUCCAUCUUCCUUUGAUAGUUUUGAUUUCUAGUUUUGUUUUAUUUAAUUUUCAAAAAAAUAAAAAUAAAUAAGAACCCUAGUUUGUUGCAGCCUUGUUUUCUAUAGGUUGUUUAGUUAUAUUUCCUUAAAAAAAAUUCGUCACUAUUCUUUCCUUAAAUCGUCUGCUUCAGUCUUUGAUUCGGUUUCUGUACUACUUCAAGGUUUUCGUCAAAAAAAAAUAAAAAUUAUUUCGUUUUCUUUUAAAUUUUUGUGUCAUUAUCUUUGUUAGCUAGUAUUGUUUAAGUAUCUUAAAGCUUAUUUAAAAAAAUAAAAAUAAAAAAGUUUUCAUAUUCUUGUCUAAUUCAGCACGUGCAUCAGUUUCUUGUUUCUAAAGUUUUCAUUUUUGAUUUCUGUGGUACGUUGAUUUUCUUUGUUGUUUUUGUUUAAGAGCAGGAUACUUUUAGACAAUCAUAAUGGGAGAACACGCAGCCAUACC